GAUGGACGCUGGCGGCGUGCCUAAUACAUGCAAGUCGAGCGAACAGACGAGGAGCUUGCUCCUCUGACGUUAGCGGCGGACGGGUGAGUAACACGUGGAUAACCUACCUAUAAGACUGGGAUAACUUCGGGAAACCGGGGCUAAUACCGGAUAACAUGUUGAACCGCAUGGUUCAACAGUGAAAGACGGUCUUGCGGUCACUUAUAGAUGGCUCCGCGCCGCAUUAGCUAGUUGGUAAGGUAACGGCUUACCAAGGCAACGAUGCGUAGCCGACCUGACAGGGUGAUCGGCCACACUGGAACUGAGACACGGUCCAGACUCCUACGGGAGGCAGCAGUAGGGAAUCUUCCGCAAUGGGCGAAAGCCUGACGGAGCAACGCCGCGUGAGUGAUGAAGGUCUUCGGAUCGUAAAACUCUGUUAUUAGGGAAGAACAAAUGUGUAAGUAACUAUGCACGUCUUGACGGUACCUAAUCAGAAAGCCACGGCUAACUACGUG
rnacentral:rRNA from 1 species